CAGUGCUAAUUAACAAAAAUUAAUUAAAAUAACUUAAGAGUGAUUAAUAGUGGGUUAAGGAGCAGAAAAAUCGCUUAGGCCAUGAAAUUUUGAGCGAAAAGGCCAAUCCUCAAAUUAACCUCGGACUCCAAACCUUGAACUUUCAUCAAGAACAAAGUCUCCCUGUCCUUCAUCCAAACUCAAGUGACGGUAGCGGCCAUGAGAGUGGUUCAGACAGAUUCAACGGCGCAUCCUCAAAUCCGAUUUUCAGAUGGAACGAACUAGGGCAAGAGGCCGAGGAUGCAACACCAAAUCGGAUCCCCUCGGAACUGAAGAAACCUUGUGCACGGACGGUCGAAAAUGAAAGAAGACAAACUUACCGGACAAAUUCGACCCGAUGGCUCCGGAUAAUCCUUCUCCGUUUCCGUUUUAUUUUUUUUCAACCUGCCACUUCUCUCUCACAUCCUCUUCUAUGAAUGUUGCAGAGGCUUCUUCGUGGUUGAUUCGGGAAUUGAGAGGAUGAGCAUCAGUGAGAAUGGCACGUGUAGUUUUGCUUAGUUCUUUGAUUUUUCUUGGAUGGUUGUGGAAGAUUCGUUGAGAAGCUGUGCAGGUAGUUUUUUUGUUGAAUAUUUUUGUUGAAUAUUUUUGUUGUGAUAGAUGGUUCUGUUAUCGGUUGAUGCCAAUUAGAAACGAGGUCCAAGGUUGGUUGCAGAAUGGAGUCGGAAGAGGUUUCGGUUGAGGAGUGACUCUUGCAGGUAUUGUUGAAGGAUUGUUAGCAGGGUUAAGGGAAAGUUGGUUCUUGAGGAGGGUGAUUAAAGGUGGUUUGAAGAUGGAGUUGUUGAAAUGAGGGUGAAGAAGAGGGUGGAGAGUGAUUCGGUUAUGAAGAUUGGAGGAGGAAGUGAAGGGUUCUGUUAUAUCAGUUUGUUGCAGGUCAUUGGAAAAUGGUUUAGAAAGGAUGAAGAUGAAUUCAGUUAGGUUGGUUCUUUGAGAGGGUCAUUGAAUUGAGAGAAGUGAGGUUUUUAUGUGGUUUGUUGGAAGGUUCUGUUGUGCGAAGGGUUCAAAGAGGUUAUGAUUUUGUUACAGGUUUGUUGUGGAUUGUCGUUUGAGUUAGUUAGAGGUGAAGCUCGGUUUUGAAUGAGUUCUGUUACACGUUUUGAAAGUUUGUUAUUCUGUUAUGAUGGUGGUUAGAGGUUUUUGAAGUUCAGUUCACAAAAUUAUUCUAAUGAGGAGGGCCCGUUAUGGAAACUGGUUCAAUUUGUUCCCUCUGUUACACAUUUGUUAACUGUCAGAAUUCGGUUAUAUGGUCGGUUGAGAAGCGGUUAGAGGUUAAUUGGAAGUUGUGUAUUGGAGGAUCUAGGCCGGUUCGGUUAUCAGUUGGAAGUUAGUGAGAAAUCUUGUUUUCUAUUUUCUGUUUUCCGUUUCGGUUAUUUCUGUUAUGAUUAUUAGUUAUAUAGCAGGCUGGUUGAUACGGUUUGAGAAGUUAGUUGUGGAAGGUGGUUAGAGGGAGAUGAAUUCUCUUUUGAGAUUGAAGCAGUUAGGUGGUUAUAAAUACAACUAGCCAACAGUUGGAAGAGGUUUGGUUGGGUUAUUAGUUUCCAGUUAGGAGCUUAACCGUUAACUCCUUCAAUUAGUGGUCUGAAAUCGUUUCUUCAGCAUGAAGGAGAUUGGUUCCAUUGGUUCUAUGAGGUAGAUUAAAUUGACUUCUAUUUGGAAAAAUGCAGGGGAAAUGUAUGAUACAGGUUAAUGUAUGGAUUGCGCUUGGGCUGGUACGACUUGUGAAUCUUGACUUGGACACUGGAUACGCUUUUGAUGCUCGAACUAGCUUAUGCUUUGUAAUUGGCUUAUGUUGUAUUGAUGUAAUGGAAUUAAAACUAGGCAUUAAAAUGCUUGUAAUUUUGUAACCAAACUUUGUGAUUAAUGCAAAUCAAUGUUCUUUUGGUUA